UUUAAUUCCAGAAAACCAAUUACAUACAUUGACAUAUGGUUAACUGUUACCAUAUCAAGGGAUGAAAACCAUAUGAUUGUUCCAGCAGAUACAGAAAAAGAUUUACUAAAAGUCAACAUAAAUUUAUUAUGCAAAGCUCUUAGCAAACUAAGAAUAGACAGGAAUCUAUUUAACCUCAAUAAAUAUCAUCAAUUAAAACUACAGCAAAUAUCAUGCUUAAAAAUGUAAUGUGGAAAGCAUCCCUUUCAGGUUAGACAGGAGUAAAGUAACCUUAUAAUUUAUCCAAAAAUUUAAGUCUUAGAGAAUUGCACUAUUCAACUCCAUUCCACACCACCUGGCAUAAUUCUGAUUUACGAUUAUGUUUACUAUUCCUCAAAAUCACUUUCCCUUUUACUGUAGUGGUAGGUGACCAUUAUCUUCUGCCUCAUAGAAGAUCGAGCAUCAAUAUCUUUGGCAGUAGGAUAUUACAGCUCCAAUAUCCUUGAAAGCAGUGUGACUUCUUUCUUAACUGUGCUAAUAAGUUAUUUAUGCAAAGAAUCAUGCCAGAUGUUAAGGAUUAAUUCAUAAAAUAUGUAGUUUUCUUGGUGGGGAAUGAUGGAGACACGACACAUGCAUCCACUGACAAAAUUGCCCACUACUACUCUGGGUUAAGUGAUAGCUCUGCCCGCAUUCUUCUUGGUGUCUAUAAUUCCUGUAUACCAUUAGAUAUUCUGCCUUUGUAUCUUCUGUGACACAUACAUACAAAUAAAAAGAAAACAUUAUUAAUAAAAACCCAGCAAUUCUUGGAGAUCCCUGAUAGCUUGCUCAAGCUACCAAGCUGGUUUCACAUGUUUUAUUCCAUAAACUGUGGAUUGAAAAAUUGAUAACGCUGACACUGAGGAACUGAGAGAAUCGACCUGGUCACCUGUAUCCUGUUGCUCUUUUAUUCUACACUUCUGCAUAUAAAAUGACAGACAUGUAUUUUCUGUGUGUUUAUUUACAACAACAUUCUUCGAUGUUGUUACAAGUAGUUGCUUCACCCAGUAAGCUUGGCAAAGCUCUUGUUGCUGCUUCACUUUUCAACCCAGAAACAGCUGCACUGGACUGCAGCUGACUCCUCUCAACUCUACUGAGAGUCCUCUGUCUAGAUUUCUGAUCUUUCCUUUCUGCUUUCUUUUGUCCAUUUAUUCCUUCAACAUAUGUUUGUUUGUUUGUUUAUUUAUUUAUUUAUUUAAUUAAUUUACUCUUUUAGACAGAGUCUCGCUCUGUGGUCCAGGCUGGAGUGCAGUGACAAUCUUGGCUCACUGCAACCUCUGCCUCCCUGGCUCAAGUGAUCCUCCUGCAUCAGACUCCUGAGUAGCUGGGACUACAGGCACACACCACCAUGCCUGGCUAAUUUUUUGUAUUUUUAGUAGAGACAGGUUUUCAUCAUAUUGGCUAGGCUGAUCUCAAACUCCUGACCUCAGGCGAUUCACCCACCUCAACCUCCUAAAGUGCUGGCAUUACAGGUGUGAGCCACCAUGUCCAGCCAACAAAUGUUUAUUGAUCAACUACAGUGUGCUAAAUAUGCUGGAUGUUGGGGAUCCAAUGCUGAGCAAGUUGGAUUGCUCACCUUUAUGUUCUGUGUUGGUGGGAAUGUUCAUCUUUCCUCGUGGCAGGAUGGAUCACACCAUCUUUCAGAGCCAAUAAAGAAAAAAAUUAACCAUCAGAUAGCAAGAAAGAUACUACAACAUUUCCUGUUUAAUCAGGCAUCUCCCUAAACUAUCUUUACAGAGAGAGUGUUUUCAUUUAAUUUCUUUUUGCUGUAAUGGUGAAGUCAGAAACUUUAAAACUGUGUAUUGUCAAUAUUUCCUGUGAAGCAUUUUUCAGCUCCAGGAAAUAUUUCUGUUAUAUUUUCCAAAAUGUAAGAGCUUAUCUAUGGAAAGAAGUGCAUUGGUUUAUGAUGUAGAUAUGUUCUUUAUUUUGUUUUUUAUAAUUUCAACUUUUAUUUUAGAUUCAGAAGUUCAUGUACAAGUUUGUAUAUUGCAUGACGCUGAAGUUUGGGAUAAGAACAAUCCUGUCACCCAGGCAGGAGGUCACAUAGAUAAGAAGAAGUACAAUGAAAAGGACAUGC
rnacentral:lncRNA from 1 species